rnacentral:misc_RNA from 1 species
ACGUAAUGCCAUAGCAAUCUAUGU